rnacentral:lncRNA from 10 species
GAGCGCUGACCCAGUGAAUGAGAUAAAAGGGAGGGAGACAGGGAGGAAAGAGAAAAAAAACGCACAGCAGUUAUGUCCCCUACUAAAUAUGGUGGAUUUCGCUUGUGCCUCCAGACACACUCAUAGCAUCACACCAUGGAACUGUUCCCCACCGUCCUACCAGGACUAGCUUUGAAAGAGGAAACCUGCUAAAAGUUUCAACUUUUUAAUUACAAGAUCUUCACAGAUUCUUCCAUGAAGGAGGGAGGAUACAAGAGGAGGAGAGAUUCAUGCAGUGCUGCCAGCAGUGGACGUCAGCCUGGGCCACAUGGCUGCAUACUCCUUUGCAACUGGCCCUGUGAUGGCAGAACCUUUCAUCGCACCUUUAUUGUUUACUACAACCCUGGCGUUAUCUUCAAAAAAAGAAACAAGCCAUCUUUUCUCUGGGAUGACUUCUGUUGUCACAUGACCGCUGCUGGAUGCACCUUCCUUCUGAGCUUUGGCUUGCCUGACUGACCAUGGCCGUCACCAUGUUACCCACACCAGCAGAAAGUUCCGCUGUCCCUUGGUCUCGUUCACAGAGAUGACAUACAGAUUUUUCACUUCUGUGUGGUCUGCACACUUGAUCACAUUUCCUACAAGAAGACCCAGGGAAAUCCAGAACUUCACAUAGGAGGACCUACCACAUCCUCACACUUCAACAUCUUCAGAAAGAGCAUUGGUAAAUAUUUAACAAUUGCUCUCUGGGAAAAAAUGAAUGCAUACAUAGACAUACAGCAUGUAGAUGUUUGAUAUAAAUCUUACCAAUAUAAAGGAUCUAUAGCACCCAAUUUACAGAUAAUAACAAAUUAUACUCUUUAUUAUAAACUCCAUAGAGCCAAUAGAUUCUCACACAAGGCUUUGUUAAUUUUUGAAAAAUUCUUGUUUCUGUACUCAGUCGAUGGUUGGAAUAGAUAAAUGAGUGUGGUUACAACACGAAUAUUGGUUGAUAUUUUCCUUUACAUUAAUAAGAAAAAAGAAAGUGAGAUAAUAAAGAUGUAUAUCAGUAUUUUCACUUGCUCUUCAAUGACAUGAAUGAUUGCUUGCUGAAUCAGAUGAUAAUUUCAAAUACCAGGAGAAUUUCCAAAGCUUUUUUUACUAUUCACAAUGUAACAGUUAUGGACAUGACACAAUUUUACGUUUAAUAUGCAUUAUUCACAUCUUCUCCAUCACUUUCUUAAGUCUAGGUAAUCAAUGAAACAAUAAGUCAAGCCCUGAAUUGUACCAUUUGCAGAUUUCCAACGUGUAAAUGUUCCUGCCAAGGUUGAUUCCAAGCUACCAUUUUGAUGUCAUGGACCGCAGAAUUGGGAAGAAAUGUGCAAUAGCACACCGUGAUAUACUGUUUCCACCAUACUGAUAAAAUGGGUAGAAAUAACCUCACGAUCAUAGAGAAUAGUAAAAAGGUAGUAGAAUAAAUAGGAAGUAAUGAGUUUUGAGAAUUUAUUGCCUUUUUCAUGUAAUUUACUUUAUUGUAAGUUUACACAAUUUAAUUUUUAAGAAUGGCUGUGUUUAACAAUUGGCUUGCAAAUUUCCUGAAAAUUUGACAAUCAGCUCUCAUGAGCUGGUAUGAGCCACUCCAGGACACCACAGGAAAAUGCCCAAAACAUACCUGUGUGGGCUGGGAAUUUUUGAGAGGCUGAGCAUUUGAGGCAUUCAUAUACCUGGAUUUUAGAUUUUAGGGAAGUUGCCUAAUUAUGAGCCUAAGUUCUUGAAGUGGUGAUUAGGAUGUGGAGAAGCCCAUCUGAGCUCCUGGCCAAGCUCCUGGCCAAGCUUUGAAGGCUCCUCCUAGAUGUCAUUGUUAAUCUUCAUGUAUGAUCUUUCUAGUCCAACUAAUUAUACCUAUUUUGUUUUGUUCUGAAUAUCACCCAUUUGACAAGUAGGUUUACCAAACCUAGCCUUCUCCAAAGCACAUCCUGUGCCUGAAGUCUGAUAAGCUUAGCUCCACCAUGAACCAACCGUCAGCUGAUAAAUCACAGGAAGAUGACUGGCCAGGGGAAGGCUGAAGGAUACCUGAAUAAUUUCAUGAUAAUCAUCUGGAAGAUACCUGAUCUAGGAAGAGGAGGCAAGAAAAGAAAGAUUGCUGGACCAUGUUUGAAUGCAAUAGUAUGCCUGGUAAGAAGAGGGAGGAGACAGUGAGCAGUCACAUGGGUUGGUACCCAGACCCUUAAUUUAGGGUUUGGUGAAAUCUUGCUACCACUCCUUUGCCCCUAUUGCUUAGGGGAAAUUCAAACAUCAAAAUCACCUAAAGUUAGAGGUAUCUUAUUUGGUGCACUUGAAGGUUGACAUGGUUCUCCUGUAAGGUCCAAUCACCCUUGGGUCAGAAAAGCGUUGAAGUAGAGGGCUAGUUGCACACACAACUUGGGGAAAUCCUCCUGAUAUUUCCUACAACUUCAAAGAAUGAUGGACAUCUGAACACCCAACAAGAGGGAAAGAAGAAUCAUGAUGAAAAGUCUGCUAAGAGUAGAGCCAGAGAGAUCAGGGUUAAAAUCUCUGCUUCCCCACUUACUAGCUGUGUGACCUUCAGUGAGCUUCCUUAAUGGUAACAUGGGAAUAAUCAUUUUACUUGCAUUUUAGAGUCAUCUGCAGAUUACAUUUAAAGCCUCUAGCA